AUUCGGGCUAGUUCCGAGGGUUAGUCGUCCUCGUCCACGUGAAACCGACUUCAUGCACGGAGCGAACGCCGGGACCGAAUCAUUUGCGAAGUAUGCGAUCGCCGUGUGCGUUUGCCGACCUUCUGUCCCGAAAGAUUUCGUAGGCAAUUGAACCCCGCCAGGCCCGGAAGGGAGCAACGGUGGAUUACUUAGGGGAUGCUUUCGGGGUAACGGAAGCGAGAACGCAUGCAGCAUUCAAUCGCAUGCCUUGCACGCGAGGGAACCGGAAGCCCAUGU
rnacentral:SRP_RNA from 1 species